rnacentral:rRNA from 1 species
AUUGAACGCUGGCGGCAGGCCUAACACAUGCAAGUCGAACGAGUGGCGGACGGGUGAGUAAUGUCUGAGAAACUGCCUGAUGGAGGGGGAUCAAUACUGGAAACGGUAGCUACUACCGCAUACCAUCGGAUGUGCCCAGAUGGGAUUAGCGUGUUGGUGGGGUAACGGCUCACCAAGGCGACGAUCCCUAGCUGGUCUGUGAGGAUGACGGGCCAAAUGGGAAUUUGGCAACGGUCCAGAGUCCACCGGCAGGCAGCAGUGGGGAACAUUCUACAAUGGGCGAAAUCCUGAGGCAGCCAUGCCGGUGGUAGGAAGAAGGCCUUCGGGUUGUAAAGUACGUUCAGCGGGGAGGCGUUACCCGCAGAAGAAGCACCGGCUAACUCCGUGCCAGCAGCCGCGGUAAUUC